rnacentral:rRNA from 1 species
CACGUAGGGGGCAAGCGUUGUCCGGAAUUAUUGGGCGUAAAGAGCUCGUAGGCGGCUCGGUAAGUCAGGUGUCAAAUCUUCAGGCUCAACCUGGGGCUCCACCUGAUACUGCUGUGGCUAGAGUCCGGUAGGGGAGCGUGGAAUUCCUGGUGUAGCGGUGAAAUGCGCAGAUAUCAGGAGGAACACCAGCGGCGAAGGCGGCGCUCUGGGCCGGAACUGACGCUGAGGUGCGAAAGCGUGGGGAGCAAACAGG